AUUCCCUCUUCCCCCUAAAUCUCUACUACCCUAUCCCGCGCUCCUCUCCAAAAUUGUAGCUUCUAUCCUCUCCAAUUUUAACCGGAGUUUUUUUUUCCUCUCUCGUUGGUCGCCCCUACAGUAGCUUCUCCACUCUUCCUGGUGCGGUUCGUGCUUUGGCGGCAAGUUCAGCCUCACUACUGUCAUUCAUCCCUGAAGAAAUAGUAAAAGGUUUGGACUUUUACUCUUUCAGUUUUUCAUUUUAUCUCAUUUUCUAUUUCUAUAUGAUCUGAAUUUGAUUUUCCUAUUUUUAUCUUAUUGAUUAGAUUUUCCAUUUUCACCCAAAUAUUUUAUUGAAAUUGUUAUGAAUUCAUUUAGAAUCACAUGAAACAGAAGUAAAUAAUUCCUUAAUGAAAUUUGAGUUGCCAGUAAAUGGUCCUUUUUUUAAUUUGGAAUCAGAGGGAUCUUUUGUAUUUCUUGAGUACAAAGGUCUUUUGUGAAUCUUUUCAUUCAUGAAACUAGGUUGAAUAAUGUGGUUUAUUUCCAUUGAAUUGAGAAGGAUAAAUUUAUCUUUUUGUCAGCUGGACCCCUGGAAAAGGAGUGAAAACCAAUAGGAAAAACUGAAAAAAGUCUUUGUUGUUAUUAUUAUUAUUAUUUAUUUCAAUUGGUGCUAUUUGCCUAAAUGUCUCAUUAAUGAACAAUGCUAGUGAUUUUUUCUACAGAAUUUUUAUAAAGACAGCUGUCUUUUUUUACCAAUUCUUUUUUUAAAAAAAAUUUGUACUUGCAAAUUCAUUGUUAAUAUUAUAAUUGGCCGAAAUUAACAAUCUAGAUACACAUAGGCUCAAAACUGAUACCAUGACGACACAAUUACAAGAUCUCCGACUUGUCAGGAAAAUGUUGUGCAUACAACUCCAAUUUCAGUUGUAGUUUUAGUUCAAAACUUGGAACCUUUAUAAAUUCCCAUUAGAACUUGAAUCCACUGGCGGAUUCAGACAAGGGCUCGAUCGUGCUAUAGCCAUGUCUGCCCCUGAAAUAUCUACUUUUUUCUUAGUUAUUUUAUUUUAUUUUAUUUUUUUUAAUUUUUAAAGAUAAAUUCAUGUAUAUUUGUAUUGUAGUCCAUAUUCAAACUCAAGGCUGAAUCCGCCACUGCCCGAAUCUAACUUUUUGGUUUCAUUAAUUUAAGCCGUGAAACAACAAAUAACCUCAACAAAGUCUCCCCCUCUAUUCGUCUAAUAGGGUAUUGCCACGUCAACAACUCAACAUCACUGCCAGCCACUUACCCUUGCGAAUCCCCUCAAUCUUCACUUUCUCCUCCACUCUAACUUUUGGUUAUUGCAGUAUACACUUUGCUUAACAUAUAUUUUUGAGUGUUAUCAGUUAUUGCGGUGUAUUGAGAAACUAGGGUUUUACAUUUCUUGCCAAAAUUAAAUUUCAAUCCAAUGUUAGUUUGACAAAUAAAAAUAAAAAGAAAGAACUUUUACAAUGUUUAGUAAAGUUCUUAUAUUUAUAUUUAUAGUUCUACAAGUACACAAUACAUUAUGUAAUGCUUUACACUUGCUGAACUGGCGUCUUCCUCUAUCAAAAAAAUUUUUUUGAGUCAAUUUCUUGCCAAAAUCUCGUGAGAGAAAUGAACUUUAAAAGAAAGACUCCUUCCCCAAAAUUGAAUCUUGCUUGCACAAACAAUUCCUCCUCUCUCUGAUUUGCGAAAGCCCUUCUCUUCGAGAGUUCAAUCUCCGGCACAGUUCCUUCUCUUCCAUUUUUUCAGUUUGAAGAACCGUGAGCCCUUCUCUCUCUUAAUCGGCGUCCACUUCAUACUAUUGUGAAGAAUCGAAAGAUAUCGAGGUUAGUAUAUGUUGUUCGAAGCCGAUUUUUUCCUGUUCAUUCUAGUUGUUCGACUUCUUUCUUGUAAUUUGCUUAGUCAACAACUGAUUUUACUAGUAUUCGAUGUUUUCACUUUUUUUUUUUUGGGAAUAAAUCUGGUUAUUCGAGAGUUCGAUCUCCUUGCACAGUUCCUUCUCUUCCAUUUUUUCAGUUUGAAGAACCGUGAGCCCUUCUCUCUUAACCGGCGUCCACUUCAUACUAUUGUGAAGAAUCGAAAGACGUCGAGGUUAGUAUAUGUUGUUCGAAGCAGACUUUUUCCUGUUCAUUCCAGUUAUUUGACUUUUUUUUUUUUGGAAUAAAUCUGGUUAUUCGAUGUUUUUGCCUUUUUUUGGGAAUAAAUUUGCUCAUAAUUUUAUUUGUUGAUGUUUAGUUGAUAGUUAUAAAAAUGUGUUUUGAUUAGUGCAACAAAUCGUGCCAUUUGUGUUUGCAUAGUUGUUGAUGUUAAGUUUAUAGUUGUAAAAAUGGAUUUGUGACUAGUGCAGUCAAUCUUACCAUUUCCGUUUGCUUAUUUGUUGAUGAUAAGUGUAUGGGUAUAAAAAUGGAUUUGUCACCGCAAUUGGGCAAAGAAUAAUCUGUGAAAUAAAUAUGCUUAUUUGUUGAUGCUAAGUAAUGCUGGUUAGGUUAACUAGACAAUCGGUACAAGUGUUCCUUUUAUCUUAUGUUAAUUGGUCUUGUAUUUGUCAAUGCAAUUUGGUAUCUUGGAACAAUUUGCUGUUGAUUUGGUUAUUUUGUGGUUGCAUUAGUCUUGUUUGAUGGCAAGCAAGAAUAGAGGAAUCUGUCAUAGUUGUAGACAACCAAGACACACGUUGGAAUGUCCCAAGAAGAGAGCAUGUCCAAAAUGUGGCGAGGGUUUCGUCAAAUGGAUGGAGGUGGAAAAGAAUACUGAAAACAUGGGAAAGAUGUUCCGUUGUUGUACUCGAGACUGCAGGUAUUUCAAGUGGACUAAUCUUUUGCCCGCCGAAGAAUAUCAGUUGCAUAUUGAAGGUGAAUCAAGUGGUGUCCCGAAACCUAAAGAUCGGUUCGAUGAUUUGUCGCAUAUGUUCAAAGAAUUGACUAAAGUAUCUAAUAAUGAAGAUGACUUGGAGAUUUCGUUCAGCAUAACUAUUCGCAAGGGAAAACGAGUUUUGGAAGGCAACGACAAUUGAAGGAAAGCUACCGUGUAAUGUUAGUGUAGGACUGUGUAUGAUGUAGUUGUUUAUGGAUGUAAUUUGCAAGUUGAUGGUUAUGUGUACUGUAAUGGUGUAGGUUUGUUUAAAACUUGUUUGAUUCAAUGAGAAUUUCUUUUGG
rnacentral:lncRNA from 1 species